CUAUUAUUUCUCAACCUGCCGAUCCACCUGGAAACAAAGAGAGAGCCCCGUUGCAUUGCGGGCUGCUAGCCAGAUCCCGCAAUAUAUGACUUCUGCUUUAGAGAAGAGAAAUUCCUGCAAAGUGGAAGAAUCUCAGCCACAAAUAAUGGUUGUUCAAUAUAAAAACAGGCAUUAAAAGGAAAGACAGGAUGAAGCUUUUUUACUUUCCUUUUGUUUCUUUGCUUAGAAGAACAAAGGAUUGGGAAGAACAGAAACAGUAAAGGACAGGAAUGUAUGAAGUCAAAAUGUCUAUCCAAGAUCCUCUUCUUCACAACCUAUAUAUAGGAGAAUAUGACAGCAUUCAUAUAUCCUGAAUAAAUUAGAAAGUCUAUCAGAGAACAAGUGUGAGGGAUACCAACUCUGAGCUGAAUAAGGACACGUUCUCAUCAGGGAAGAUUUGUUUUUGCCUGCGUCUUGGUAAAGUUGCUUUUUACCCUCUCAAUUAUUGGACGGAAAGUCUGUCUUCCCCCUGAGGCCAUUUAAAGGAACACAGAUGACUUCUUUACAUUUUCCUUCCCUUCUUCAAGGCUUAAUGAACUUUAGGGUGAAGUUUAUAAAGCCCAGAACAGAGAGCUUGCUCAAAAACACUGUGAAGUGCCCGAUGACGAUCUAUUUUUUCCUAUUUGUGAGAAUCAGAGAUUUGGAGAGCUCGUCCUUUCGCAUUUAUGUUUCAACACUUAAGUGUGACUUAACAAGAUGUUUAAAGCUGAGACUGGGGUAGAAUAAUUCUUGAGACUUAAGGGAUGUUGAAUUUCACACUCUAUAUAAGGGAGCUUAGCAUACCAAUCUUUGCUUUAGGGGAGAAUCAGGGAGCUAUUCUAGGGUUUGCUAAGUAUAAUAGUUGACACAGCAGAGAAAUCUUUCACUUUUGGCUUCCUGCCAUGCCCUGUGAAUAAAGGAGUAUGCCAGUUACUUAUAGGACUGUUUUUCCCUUGGGAGAUUUAGUUCUAGCUCACCUUAACUCAUUACUGAUUCACGGGCUGCUGUUUUUGGCUAAAUGUGUUAGAGGAGCAAUGUUAGCUGAGAGGCUAUCAAAAUUUGCAACAGGCUCUUCCAUCAUCCCAUCCCUUUGGAACUCUGCUGUCAAAAAAUCCACUCAAGACACUGCCUUUCUUUUUUCUCUUCCAUCCGUCCCCAUGAGUACUUUUUCCAAUUAAGGUCAGCUUGUAAAAGGACUACAUUUAUUAUUCAUGUUUCUAUCAUUUGCACUUUACUAGGCACUCUUUUUAUUAAGCACCAGUCCAUAAAAUGCCUGGAAGUUCAUCCUUUUUUUCUAUUCCCCACUGACAGUUGGCUUUGAUGUAGAGGGGAGAAAUGGAUCUGCUCAACAUUUCUAGCUCAAGUAGAGUCUUAGGCUAGAUGGCAAAAGUAGUUUAGCUGCUAAGACCCUUUGGCUGCAUCAUUAGACCAGCAUGUAAUUAUAUAUUUUAUAGGUAGCCCAGGGUAGACUGAAAUCAUCAUUUCCUAAAACGGACUUAGCAAUUAUCUUGGUAGAUAGGUGUUUGUUUAUUGAGUCUUAUCACUUUAGAAUUAAAGAGCAUGUCAAGAGAAAUACUUUAAAGAUAAUCCCAGAGAAUUUUCUAUUAUUCCCUGAAUAAUAGGAGAACAGAUUUGUUUACUUAAAAGUUGUGCUUAGAGGCCAACAGAUAACGAAGUUGUACAGAUAGCCUUUGGCACUCAUGGCAUGUAACAAAGUGAAAAUUUUUGGUUUAUGGAAACUAAGCCCAAACUACCAUUUUGCACAUCAUUACAGUGAUCCUGAUUUGGACUGUUGCUAGCCCACAUAUAUCCACUAUAAGAGCAUUUUCCUGCUCCACUAAACCCUAGACUAUUGUGAAAUUUUUGUUGAAUUCAUUAGUACCAAUUUAACCUAUUAAUUACUGAUAGAAAAUACAAAAAAAAAAAAAAAAACUAUGGGACCUUUGUGCCCAAGAGUGACUUAGCUAGUUUGUAUGACGAUUUCUCUGUGCUAAUAAGUUGACUGGGGAAGUAUAAAUGACUAAAGGAGUAGGGUUACAAAAUCACAUUAUUGAACACAAAAACAACUUUUUUUUUCAGCAUCACCUUGAUUUAUUUUCCUAGUAUUUUUUUCCUCAGAUGGAAAAAUAAUUUCAUCAAGAAAACAAAUGCUUCUGCCAAAGUGAAAGAAUUUUAUGUCUUA
rnacentral:lncRNA from 1 species